UACGUAGGGGGCAAGCGUUGUCCGGAAUCAUUGGGCGUAAAGAGCGUGUAGGCGGCCCGGUAAGUCCGCUGUGAAAGUCCAGGGCUCAACCCUGGGAUGCCGGUGGAUACUGUCGGGCUCGAGUCCGGAAGAGGAGUGUGGAAUUCCUGGUGUAGCGGUGAAAUGCGCAGAUAUCAGGAGGAACACCAAUGGCGAAGGCAGCAUUCUGGGACGUGACUGACGCUGAGACGCGAAAGCGUGGGGAGCAAACAGG
rnacentral:rRNA from 1 species